AAGGAUGGGCAAGCGAAUCUCCCAGCUGGUGCAGAGCCCCAUUCAGUGCCUUACUGACGCGCAUCCAGAGAUUCAAGCCCCCUGCACCCGCGUGGGUGACUUUGAAACAGAUUCCCGCCUGGCACAGCGUACUCUCCAGCGGCUCACGUGAAAUCGAUCACGGCAAAGUCACACCCUACAGCCAGAGCAAUUCGGGAAGCUUGGCUCUUCCACAAACAAGAUUCCAGGAUGCCACCCAGAAGGCAAAUCAAGAAACCUCACUGGAUGGUUUGUGGAUGACUUGGGAGGGUCCCAAUGGUUCCAGGAAGGAGGCAGAGGCUAUCCUCGUUCACUGCCUCUUGCCAAUCACAGUGUCCUGUCCAAAGCUCGCGAACACUUCCUGAGGACCAGAUGAUAACGCUCACAACUGUCCAUGUAUGCCCACAGACCGUCGGAAGAGAUUGUUGGAUCCCUUGGAGCUGUGAGCUGCCUGGUAUAGGUGCUGGGAUUUGAACUUGAGUCUUCUGGAAGAGCAUCUAGUGCUCUUAACCUCUGCACCAUCUCUCCUCCAGCCCUCGAUUAAAUUUCUAAAACAGUUUUUGUUGUGCUUGAGUGUGAACAUGUGGAAGCCAGAGGUCAGUAUCAGGAGUGGCACUAUUAGAAGGUGUGGCUUUGUUGG